rnacentral:rRNA from 1 species
UACGGAGGGUGCGAGCGUUGUCCGGAAUCAUUGGGCGUAAAGGGCGCGUAGGUGGCCCGGUCAGCGUGCGGUGAAAGCUCGGGGCUCAACCCCGAGUCGGCCGUGCGAACUGCUGGGCUCGAGCACUGUAGAGGCAGGCGGAAUUCCGGGUGUAGCGGUGGAAUGCGUAGAGAUCCGGAGGAAGACCGGUGGCGAAGGCGGCCUGCUGGGCAGUUACUGACACUGAGGCGCGACAGCGUGGGGAGCAAACAGG